rnacentral:tRNA from 1 species
CGCGGGGUAGAGCAGUUGGUAGCUCGUCGGGCUCAUAACCCGAAGGUCGUGCGGUUCGAUUCCCACCCCCGCUACAA